rnacentral:rRNA from 1 species
UAAGCAAUUAUACAGCGAAACUGCGAAUGGCUCAUUAAAUCAGUUAUCGUUUAUUUGAUAGUACCUUACUACUUGGAUAACCGUGGUAAUUCUAGAGCUAAUACAUGCUAAAAAUCCCGACUUCGGAAGGGAUGUAUUUAUUAGAUUAAAAACCAAUGCCCUUCGGGGCUCACUGGUGAUUCAUGAUAACUUCUCGAAUCGCAUGGCCUUGCGCCGGCGAUGGUUCAUUCAAAUUUCUGCCCUAUCAACUUUCGACGGCUGGGUCUUGGCCAGCCAUGGUGACAACGGGUAACGGAGGGUUAGGGCUCGACCCCGGAGAAGGAGCCUGAGAGACGGCUACUACAUCCAAGGAAGGCAGCAGGCGCGCAAAUUACCCAAUCCCGACUCGGGGAGGUAGUGACGAUAAAUACUGAUACAGGGCUCUUUUGGGUCUUGUAAUUGGAAUGAGUACAAUUUAAAUCCCUUAACGAGGAACAAUUGGAGGGCAAGUCUGGUGCCAGCAGCCGCGGUAAUUCCAGCUCCAAUAGCGUAUAUUAAAGUUGUUGCAGUUAAAAAGCUCGUAGUUGAACCUUGGGCCUGGCUGGCCGGUCCGCCUCACCGCGUGCACUGGUCCGGCCGGGCCUUUCCCUCUGGGGAGCCGCAUGCCCUUCACUGGGCGUGUCGGGGAACCAGGACUUUUACUUUGAAAAAAUUAGAGUGUUCAAAGCAGGCCUAUGCUCGAAUACAUUAGCAUGGAAUAAUAAAAUAGGACGUGCGGUUCUAUUUUGUUGGUUUCUAGGACCGCCGUAAUGAUUAAUAGGGACAGUCGGGGGCAUCAGUAUUCAAUUGUCAGAGGUGAAAUUCUUGGAUUUAUUGAAGACUAACUACUGCGAAAGCAUUUGCCAAGGAUGUUUUCAUUAAUCAGGAACGAAAGUUAGGGGAUCGAAGACGAUCAGAUACCGUCGUAGUCUUAACCAUAAACUAUGCCGACUAGGGAUCGGACGAUGUUAUUUUUUGACUCGUUCGGCACCUUACACGAAAGUACAAGUUU